UACGAAGGGGGCUAGCGUUGCUCGGAAUUACUGGGCGUAAAGGGCGCGUAGGCGGACAGUUUAGUCAGGGGUGAACGCCCAGGGCUCAACCUUGGAAUUGCCUUUGAUACUGGCUGUCUUGAGUUCGGGAGAGGUGAGUGGAAUGCCGAGUGUAGAGGUGAAAUGCGUAGAUAUUGGGAAGAACACCGGUGGCGAAGGCGGCUCACUGGACCGACACUGACGCUGAGGCACGAAAGCGUGGGGAGCAAACAGG
rnacentral:rRNA from 1 species